UCUCCGUUGGUGAACCAGCGGAGGGAUCAUUACCGAGCUUCCAACUCCCAAACCCCUGUGAACUUAUACCUUUCCUGUUGCUUCGGCGGGUCUGCGCCCCGGAACACGCGCGCGAGGGCCGGCCCGGCACCGGGCGCCCGCCGGGGGACCCAAACUCUUGUAUUUUUUCUUUGCAUGUACGAGUGGAAUCAUACAAAAUGAAUCAAAACUUUCAACAACGGAUCUCUUGGUUCUG
rnacentral:misc_RNA from 1 species